UGAAUUGCAGAAUUCAGUGAAUCAUCGAAUCUUUGAACGCAAAUGGCGCUCUUGGGUUCUCCCAGGAGCAUGUCUGUCUGAGUGUCGGAUAUCAUCCAACGCACGCCAGCGUGCGGAAUUGAGGCGUCACGGUCCGUACUGCACGGACCGUGUCCCUUGAAAGUCAGAGAGACUCGCCGCGUCGCGGGAAGAUUCCCCGUGCACACCAGCGGAGGCUAAAAUGUCUUUUGCCCUUCGCGUGCCGGGAAGUCGCCGCGUGCGGCGGUCGUCGUCGGGCGAUCUUUAAUUAUCUUGACCUCAGAUCAGGCAAGGCUACCCGCUGAAUUUAAGCAUAUUAAUAAGCGGAGGAAAAGAAACUAACAAGGAUUCCCUCAGUAACGGCGAGUGAAGCGGGACCAGCUCAAAUUUGAAAUCUCCGAUGCCUGCAUCGGCGAGUUGUAGUUGCGAGAAGCACUUUCUAGGUGGAUCGGUCGUGCCUAAGUUGCUUGGAACAGCACGUCGCAGAGGGUGACAACCCCGUCUGUGGCGCGGCCGGCCGCCGACGAUGUGCUUUCGAAGAGUC
rnacentral:rRNA from 1 species